CGGGGCGUGGCGCAGCCUGGUAGCGCGCCUGUUUUGGGGACAGGAAGCCGGAGGUUCAAAUCCUCUCGCCCCGACCA
rnacentral:tRNA from 1 species